rnacentral:rRNA from 1 species
GUGGCGGACGGGUGAGUAACGCGUGGGUAACCUGCCUCAUACAGGGGGAUAACAGUUGGAAACGACUGCUAAUACCGCAUAAGCGCACAGGACUGCAUGAUCCAGUGUGAAAAACUCCGGUGGUAUGAGAUGGACCCGCGUCUGAUUAGCCAGUUGGCGGGGUAACGGCCCACCAAAGCGACGAUCAGUAGCCGACCUGAGAGGGUGACCGGCCACAUUGGGACUGAGACACGGCCCAAACUCCUACGGGAGGCAGCAGUGGGGAAUAUUGCACAAUGGGGGAAACCCUGAUGCAGCGACGCCGCGUGAGCGAAGAAGUAUUUCGGUAUGUAAAGCUCUAUCAGCAGGGAAGAAGAAUGACGGUACCUGACUAAGAAGCACCGGCUAAAUACGUGCCAGCAGCCGCGGUAAUACGUAUGGUGCAAGCGUUAUCCGGAUUUACUGGGUGUAAAGGGAGCGCAGGCGGUACGGUAAGUCUGAUGUGAAAUCCCGGGGCUCAACCCCGGUACUGCAUUGGAAACUGUCGGACUAGAGUGUCGGAGGGGUAAGUGGAAUUCCUAGUGUAGCGGUGAAAUGCGUAGAUAUUAGGAGGAACACCAGUGGCGAAGGCGGC